GGCGUGCUAUACAUGCAGUCGAGCGGACCGACGGGAGCUUGCUCCCUUAGGUCAGCGGCGGACGGGUGAGUAACACGUGGGUAACCUGCCUGUAAGACUGGGAUAACUCCGGGAAACCGGGGCUAAUACCGGAUGCUUGAUUGAACCGCAUGGUUCAAUCAUAAAAGGUGGCUUUUAGCUACCACUUACAGAUGGACCCGCGGCGCAUUAGCUAGUUGGUGAGGUAACGGCUCACCAAGGCGACGAUGCGUAGCCGACCUGAGAGGGUGAUCGGCCACACUGGGACUGAGACACGGCCCAGACUCCUACGGGAGGCAGCAGUAGGGAAUCUUCCGCAAUGGACGAAAGUCUGACGGAGCAACGCCGCGUGAGUGAUGAAGGUUUUCGGAUCGUAAAACUCUGUUGUUAGGGAAGAACAAGUACCGUUCGAAUAGGGCGGUACCUUGACGGUACCUAACCAGAAAGCCACGGCUAACUACGUGCCAGCAGCCGCGGUAAUACGUAGGUGGCAAGCGUUGUCCGGAAUUAUUGGGCGUAAAGCGCGCGCAGGCGGUUUCUUAAGUCUGAUGUGAAAGCCCCCGGCUCAACCGGGGAGGGUCAUUGGAAACUGGGGAACUUGAGUGCAGAAGAGGAGAGUGGAAUUCCACGUGUAGCGGUGAAAUGCGUAGAGAUGUGGAGGAACACCAGUGGCGAAGGCGACUCUCUGGUCUGUAACUGACGCUGAGGCGCGAAAGCGUGGGGAGCGAACAGGAUUAGAUACCCUGGUAGUCCACGCCGUAAACGAUGAGUGCUAAGUGUUAGAGGGUUUCCGCCCUUUAGUGCUGCAGCAAACGCAUUAAGCACUCCGCCUGGGGAGUACGGUCGCAAGACUGAAACUCAAAGGAAUUGACGGGGGCCCGCACAAGCGGUGGAGCAUGUGGNUUAAUUCGAAGCAACGCGA
rnacentral:rRNA from 1 species